rnacentral:rRNA from 1 species
GGUGAACGCUGGCGGCGUGCCUAACACAUGCAAGUCGAGCGAACAGACGAGGAGCUCGUGCCCCUGACGUUAGCGGCGGGCGGGUGAGUAACACGUGGAUAACCUACCUAUUAUACGGGGAUAAUUUCGGGAAACCGGAGACAAUACUGGAUCAUAUAUUGAACGGCAGGGAUCAGUAGUUAUUGACGGUUUUCGUGUCACUUAUAGCUGGUGUCGCGUCGCAUUAGCUAGUUGGUAAGGUAACGGCUUACCAAGGCAACGAUGCGUAGCCGACCUGAGAGGGUGAUCAGCCACACUGGAACUGAGACACGGUCCAGACUCCUACGGGAGGCAGCAGUGGGGAAUCUUGGGCAAUGGGCGAAAGCCUGACGGAGCAACGCCGCGUGGGUGAAGAAGGUCUUCGGGUCGUAAAACUCUGUUAUUGGGGAAGAACAAAUGUGUGAGUAACCCUGCACGUUUUGACGGUACCUAAACAAAAAGCAACGGCUAACUACGUG